AUUGUUUUUUAGAUAGUAGACACAACUAAAUGCGGCUAAAGUAUUUUACAGUGUAAUAAUCAUUUAUUGGUAGGCACCUCUGCAGUUGUUUAUCCUCAUGUUUUAUUGUUCUUUUAAUAUUUAUUUUGUGCACUUCUCCAAAUUGUGUUUAAUAAUUAAGUUUGGCAAUAAAGACCCCAAAACCACAUUUUGUUUCUGGUUUAACUUUAAUUUCACCUGAUAUCUUUUCAAGCCAGUACAAACCCCUUCCGUCUUACGCAACAAAACAUUGGUGUCAAUCUCUGGGUUGCUGCAGCCACAUUAGUGCUGCUCUACAAGUUCAGCUUUUAUGAAUGAAAGGAGUUCACUUGGCUUGUAGCAGGCAGCAGCACCAGAUUACACAACAAACCCAUUUCACACAGGAGAGACUUAAACGUGGCCCUGACAGGCAGCGAUACGGCCUCACAAGCACCUGAGUCACUCAUCUCCACCAGAGCGUCAGAUGUUGUAGGAUCACUGUCUGUCAAACGCGCCUCAGGAUUCGGCUUCAAAGCGAACGUCACCGCGGCUGACGCGUGCGUUUAAAUCCAGAAGAGGACUGCUGUUUCUGAAGCAGGCUCUCUUCUUUCUUCUUCUGGUUACACACACUGAAAUGCAUCGACUGGCAAAUGUCAGAACUGCUGUUUACAUAACAAUCUAUCAGUUUUGUUGAGCAUUUGGUUUCACUGCUUUGUGAUUGAGGGACAGUGGGAGGAAAUGGAAAAGAUGAGAGAAAAGUCUGCUUCUGUGGUUUCUCAUGCAUUUUUUUUGUAGCUUUUUCUAGAUCCUUCUCUGUGUCCCCCACAUGGACUUGGCUUCAUCCGAUACCAUCAUGAAUAUUACAUGGAGGCUCAGGUGGAGUGGAUAGAGCUACAGAGCUGUGAAGCAGAGAAAACUCCAGGCGGAGGGAGGCAUGCAGGCGCCUGACGUGACUCACACUGCUGAGGCUGGAUGCAGGAGGCCCCAGGCUGAGCGCCACGUCCUGGCAGAGCCGGGGAGCCGUGCAGCGGUUCUCUCCUGCUGUGACUUGCCCUGCGCACAGAGCGAGUCUCUACGAGUUUCUGUCUCCAUGCAGCAGGCGGAGAGGCUGACGUGCCGUUUAUCACCGUCACGCUGAUGGUGUGUGGAUGUUGAUGGGCCACCUGUCCUCCCUGUGGGCCACUCAGGAAAGGUGUGAGUUUAAACAUCAGCUAAGUAAUAAUGUUUGACAGCGCUAAUGAGCCAGGCCUCCCUGUGUCAGACUGCCAUGACCAGCACCUCUUCUCUUAGCUUUCUCUCUCAUCUUGCAGUGAAACCAGCAGUGGCCUCAUUAGAGAAGCUUAUUGCCUUAAUUCAGCCCAACACAACAACUCAAGAUGGAGCUGUUCCAAAAAAUAACUGCACUGUAAAACACUUACAGGUGGUUUAACCUGAAAAUUAAAGUCCACCUGCUGCCUGGAAAAUGCAAUUUACGUCACAAGAAAAUUGUUUUGGUUUUAACUCAGAA